rnacentral:tRNA from 1 species
GCGCCGCUAGCUCAACUGGCAGAGCAACUGACUCUUAAUCAGUAGGUUGAAGGUUCGAUUCCUUCGCGGCGCACCA